CCAGGCUGGUCUCAAACUCCUGACCUCAAGUGUUCCACCUGCCUCAGCCUCCCAAAGUGCUGAGAUUACAGGCAUGAGCUACUGCAUCGGUCCGGUCACCAUCAUCUUAUUCCACCCAGGGACUGACACAUAAUUUUUGAGCCUCUCUCUCUUUCCCACCACCAAUUGCUCUCGGGAUUUAGGUUGCUCCCAAUUUCCCAGGGCUCUCAGUUAGUUUGUGAUGAGCAGCAUAACCCUUUCUCCAUUUCAAAGAUCAUUUUGUUCAGAUAUGUUCCCUUAGUGGCCGGAGGAUGUGGAUAGGUUCUGAUCCAACUCAUUGGGUUAUUUCCAGAAGGACCACAGCACAUCAGUCACUCAUUCAUGUGCCCUGCCCAAGCAGUACCCAGCAAAGCCACCGUGUAGUACACCUGGGCUACUGCUGGGAAUACCAGAGGUUAUGAAAACAAAAAUGAACCUACCUUGCUGAUUG
rnacentral:lncRNA from 10 species